rnacentral:rRNA from 1 species
GAUCAAGCGAAUAAGUGCAUGUGGUGGAUGCCUUGGCGAUUACAGGCGAAGAAGGACGUGCAAGCCUGCGAAAAGCUCUGGGGAGCUGGCAAUGAAGCUUUGAUCCAGAGAUGUCCGAAUGGGGAAACCCACUCCGCAAGGAGUAUCCCAUCCUGAAUACAUAGGGGUGAGGAAGCGAACCCGGAGAACUGAAACAUCUAAGUACCCCGAGGAAAAGAAAUCAACCGAGAUUCCGUAAGUAGUGGCGAGCGAAAUGGGACCAGCCUGCAAGUGAUAGCGAUUGUGUUAGUGGAAGCUUCUGGAAAGUUGCGCCGUAGUGGGUGAUAGCCCCGUACGCGAAAACACGAUUGUGGUACUAAGCUUGCGACAAGUAGGGCGGGGCACGAGAAACCUUGUCUGAACAUGGGGGGACCAUCCUCCAAGGCUAAAUACUCGUAAUCGACCGAUAGUGAACCAGUACCGUGAGGGAAAGGCGAAAAGAACCCCGGGGGGAGUGAAAUAGAUCCUGAAACCGCAUGCAUACAAACAGUGGGAGCGGACUUGUUCCGUGACUGCGUACCUUUUGUAUAAUGGGUCAGCGACUUACGUUCAGUAGCGAGCUUAACCGAAUAGGGGAGGCGUAGGGAAACCGAGUCUGAUAAGGGCGAUUAGUUGCUGGGCGUAGACCCGAAACCAAGUGAUCUAUCCAUGGCCAGGAUGAAGGUGCGGUAACACGCACUGGAGGUCCGAACCCACUAAUGUUGAAAAAUUAGGGGAUGAGCUGUGGAUAGGGGUGAAAGGCUAAACAAACUUGGAAAUAGCUGGUUCUCUCCGAAAACUAUUUAGGUAGUGCCUCACGUAUCACCUUCGGGGGUAGAGCACUGUUAUGGCUAGGGGGUCAUCGCGACUUACCAAACCAUUGCAAACUCCGAAUACCGAAGAGUGCGAGCGUGGGAGACAGACAUCGGGUGCUAACGUCCGGUGUCGAGAGGGAAACAACCCAGACCGCCGAUUAAGGUCCCCAAGACAUAGUUAAGUGGGAAACGAGGUGGGAAGGCUCAGACAGCCAGGAGGUUGGCUUAGAAGCAGCCAUCCUUUAAAGAAAGCGUAAUAGCUCACUGGUCGAGUCGUCCUGCGCGGAAGAUGUACCACUUUAAUUCAUUCGGAAAAGCUGGCGACACUAACGCGGGGCAAGUUAUGUGGAGCCAAAGCCCUCACUCACUGAUCGAGUCGAUUUGACGAGAGGAGGGGGAUGCGAAUGAGUGAAUUAAAGGAACGCACAUAGGGAGAGCGUUCUGUAGGCCGUUGAAGGUGUCUUGAGAAGGAUGCUGGAGGUAUCAGAAGUGCGAAUGCUGACAUGAGUAGCGAUAAAGCGGGUGAAAGGCCCGCUCGCCGAAAGCCCAAGGUUUCCUGCGCAACGUUCAUCGGCGCAGGGUGAGUCGGCCCCUAAGGCGAGGCAGAAAUGCGUAGUCGAUGGGAAACAGGUUAAUAUUCCUGUACCUCUUUGUAAUGCGAUGGGGGGACGGAGAAGGUUAGGUCAGCCGGGUGUUGGACGUCCCGGUUCAAGCGUGUAGUCGUGCCCUGUAGGCAAAUCCGCAGGGCUUAGAUGAGGCGUGAUAACGAGUGGCCUUGUGCCGCGAAGUGAUUGAUACCAUGCUUCCAAGAAAAGCCUCUAAGCUUCAGUUACAAAGAGACCGUACCGCAAACCGACACAGGUGGGCAGGAUGAGAAUUCUAAGGCGCUUGAGAGAACUCAGGAGAAGGAACUCGGCAAAUUAGCACCGUAACUUCGGGAGAAGGUGCGCCCUGGUAGCGUGAAAGCCCUCGCGGCUGGAGCGUGAAAGGGUUGCAGUGAAAUGGUGGCUGCGACUGUUUAAUAAAAACACAGCACUCUGCAAACACGAAAGUGGACGUAUAGGGUGUGACGCCUGCCCGGUGCCGGAAGGUUAAGUGAUGGGGUGCAAGCUCUUGAUCGAAGCCCCGGUAAACGGCGGCCGUAACUAUAACGGUCCUAAGGUAGCGAAAUUCCUUGUCGGGUAAGUUCCGACCCGCACGAAUGGCGUAACGAUGGCCACACUGUCUCCUCCUGAGACUCAGCGAAGUUGAAAUGUUUGUGAAGAUGCAAUCUCCCCGCGGCAAGACGGAAAGACCCCAUGAACCUUUACUGUAGCUUUGCAUUGGACUUUGAACCGGUCUGUGUAGGAUAGGUGGGAGGCUUUGAAGCUGGGACGCUAGUUCUGGUGGAGCCAACCUUGAAAUACCACCCUGGUUUGUUUGAGGUUCUAACCAUGGCCCGUGAAUCCGGGUCUGGGACCGUGCAUGGUAGGCAGUUUGACUGGGGCGGUCUCCUCCCAAAGUGUAACGGAGGAGUACGAAGGUACGCUAGGUACGGUCGGACAUCGUGCUAAUAGUGCAAUGGCAUAAGCGUGCUUGACUGCGAGACCCACAAGUCGAGCAGGUACGAAAGUAGGUCAUAGUGAUCCGGUGGUUCUGUAUGGAAGGGCCAUCGCUCAACGGAUAAAAGGUACUCUGGGGAUAACAGGCUGAUACCGCCCAAGAGUUCAUAUCGACGGCGGUGUUUGGCACCUCGAUGUCGGCUCAUCACAUCCUGGGGCUGUAGCCGGUCCCAAGGGUAUGGCUGUUCGCCAUUUAAAGUGGUACGUGAGCUGGGUUUAAAACGUCGUGAGACAGUUUGGUCCCUAUCUGCCGUGGGCGCUGGAAAUUUGAAGGGACCUGCUCCUAGUACGAGAGGACCGGAGUGGACUAACCUCUGGUGUACCGGUUAUGACGCCAGUCGUAUCGCCGGGUAGCUAAGUUGGGAAGAGAUAAACGCUGAAAGCAUCUAAGCGUGAAACUCGCCUUAAGAUAAGAUUUCCCUGGGGACUUGAUCCCCCUGAAGGGUCGUCGAAGACCACGACGUUGAUAGGCUGGGUGUGGAAGCGCAGCAAUGCGUUAAGCUAACCAGUACUAAUUGCCCGUGUGGCUUGAUCCU